rnacentral:lncRNA from 1 species
GGAAAAGUCAGGAUGUUCUCAACUUCAAGACUGCCCCACCAGUGAGGCGUAGCCAAAGAACCCUGAGGCAGCCUUAAACCUUCAUUGCCUCAGCAAAUUUGCAUUUGAGAAGUAGCCCACCCUGCUGGUGGAAAAAGCAAUCGUGUGCUGCACAGCAAGAAGCCUUGGCAGGAUGUGACUCAGUGAAUAAGAAAAUCCAG